GGUCUGUAACUGACGCUGAGGCGCGAAAGCGUGGAGAGCAAACAGGAUUAGAUACCCUGGUAGUCCACGCCGUAAACGAUGAGUGCUAGGUGUUAGGGGUUUAGAUGCCCGUAGUGCCGAAGUAAACACAUUAAGCACUCCGCCUGGGGAGUACGUCCGCAAGGUUGAAACUCAAAGGAAUUGACGGGGACCCGCACAAGCAGUGGAGCAUGUGGUUUAAUUCGAAGCAACGCGAAGAACCUUACCAGGUCUUGACAUCCUUUGACCACUCUGGAGACAGAGCUUCCCCUUCGGGGGCAAAGUGACAGGUGGUGCAUGGUUGUCGUCAGCUCGUGUCGUGAGAUGUUGGGUUAAGUCCCGCAACGAGCGCAACCCUUGAUCUUAGUUGCCAGCAUUUAGUUGGGCACUCUAAGGUGACUGCCGGUGACAAACCGGAGGAAGGUGGGGACGACGUCAAAUCAUCAUGCCCCUUAUGACCUGGGCUACACACGUGCUACAAUGGAUGGUACAAAGGGUUGCGAAGCCGCGAGGUGAAGCCAAUCCCAUAAAGCCAUUCUCAGUUCGGAUUGUAGGCUGCAACUCGCCUACAUGAAGCCGGAAUUGCUAGUAAUCGCGGAUCGGCAUGCCGCGGUGAAUACGUUCCCGGGUCUUGUACACACCGCCCGUCACACCACGAGAGUUUGUAACACCCGAAGUCGGUGAGGUAACCUUUUGGAGCCAGCCGCCUAAGGUGGGACAAAUGAUUGGGGUGAAGUCGUAACAAGGUAACC
rnacentral:rRNA from 1 species